UGAGUAACACGUAUCCAACCUGCCGUCUACUCUUGGGCAGCCUUCUGAAAGGAAGAUUAAUACAAGAUGGCAUCAUGAGUUCACAUGUUCACAUGAUUAAAGGUAUUCCGGUAGACGAUGGGGAUGCGUUCCAUUAGAUAGUAGGCGGGGUAACGGCCCACCUAGUCAACGAUGGAUAGGGGUUCUGAGAGGAAGGUCCCCCACAUUGGAACUGAGACACGGUCCAA
rnacentral:rRNA from 1 species